rnacentral:rRNA from 1 species
AUUCCAGCUCCAAUAGCGUAUAUUUAAGUUGUUGCAGUUAAAAAGCUCGUAGUUGGAUUUCGGUUGAGAGCGGCCGGUCCGCCGUUUGGUGUGCACUGGCUGGUUUCAGCUUCCUGCAGAGGACGCGCUCUGGGCUUAAUCGUCUGGACGUGGAGUCUGCGUGGUUACUUUGAAAAAAUUAGAGUGUUCAAAGCGGGCUUACGCUUGAAUAUUUCAGCAUGGAAUAACACUAUAGGACUCCUGUCCUAUUUCGUUGGUCUCGGGACGGGAGUAAUGAUUAAGAGGAACAGUUGGGGGCAUUCGUAUUUCAAUGUCAGAGGUGAAAUUCUUGGAUUUUUGAAAGACGAACUUCUGCGAAAGCACUUGCCAAGGAUGUUUUCAUUA